AGAGUUUGAUCCUGGCUCAGGAUAAACGCUGGCGGCGUGCCUAACACAUGCAAGUCGAACGUCCUUUCUCGCUUCGGUGAGAGAGGGAGUGGCGGACGGGUGAGUAACACAUGGGUACCUACCCCUCAGUGAGGAAUACCGGCGAGAAAUCGCCGACAAGACCGCAUACGCUUCUCUACACGGGGAAGCAAAGCCCUGCA
rnacentral:rRNA from 1 species